GGCGAUUGAACUCCGAAAACUGUGCCUCAGGGCACUAGGUUGUGGAUAUAUGGGUUGCGAGCAAAUCGCUUCCCUGCUGCAAUUCCGCGUGUGGGUAGCAUCGCAACUUGCCAGAAUUCCUGAAUUCGAUAGAAGGCCGGGAGAAUUACACAUCACACGAGCUGGAAUCGGACAAUAUAUGCCGUUGUGUUCGUGUGCGUAGAGGCGGCAUUCAGCAGCACCUCCUGGUGUGGAAGGUGGGCAACAAUUCAAGGUCACGGGAAUCUUUGCCCUUGUCUUGUCUUGUCCCUCUCCACCUCCACUCGACAGGCCGCGGCUUCCCACACCCCCCCCCCCCCCCCCCAUAGUGCUGUUUCGGCAUUCCAGAGGUUGAGUCGCAGUGUUGGUAAUUCAGUUUCGGGAUCGUGCAACAUUUUGGGUCGUGGGUCUGGGAAUUUGUGGGGUGCCCCUGAGAGGGUUCUUUUUUGGGGGAGGAAGAUUUUGAGAGUUUUUGAAGGAACUAUGGCAAUGGGUAUGAAAGUGGGUUUGGUGUCCCAGUCUCAGGGGGUGACGGGAUUACUGAGUGGAUGCAACCGCAGAGAGAUUGUACCUCAUUCUUCUUCUCUUCAUCUUUCUGCCUCGUCUUCAGCGUUUCGCAGCCGACUGCAAGUUGCCGCAGUAGCGUCCGCGAGUGUGAAGGCGUGUACCCGAUCGAUCUCUUUGCAAGUCAAGUGUGCAACUGCCACCGCUGGAGACAGGGCGGCGGCGACUGCUGCUCGACCCUGGAAGGCAUCCGACUGCCGGCUAGUGCUGGAGGAUGGGUCAGUCUGGAGUGGGAAGUCCUUCGGAAGUACUGGUACCCAAGUGGGUGAGGUGGUUUUCAACACAUCUUUGACUGGUUAUCAAGAAAUUUUGACCGAUCCAAGUUACUCCGGGCAAUUUGUACUCAUGACUCAACCACAUAUUGGCAAUACAGGGGUCAACCUUGGUGAUGAGGAGUCUGGGAAGUGCUUCACAGGUGCCUUGAUCAUACGAAGACUUAGUAACAUAGUGUCAAACUGGCGAUCCUCGGAAGAUCUUCCUGAAUAUCUGAAGAAGAGAAAUGUUAUGGGCAUCUCUGAUAUAGACACCCGAGCUAUCACUAGGCGUUUGCGAGAAGAGGGUAGCUUAAUUGGAGUUCUGACUACUGAAAAUUCCAAGACCGAUGACGAGCUAAUAGAGAUGGCUAAGACCUGGAAGAUAGCAGGUAAGGACUUGAUUACUGAUGCGAGCUGCACCGAACCUUACGAAUGGCAAGAGAAAACUGACGACGAGUGGGAGUUUAGCUCAGACAUUCCUGAUUUGGAGUCAAAGAAGUUUCACGUGGUGGCGUACGAUUUUGGCGUAAAGCAAAACAUUCUCAGGAGACUUACGUCCUAUGGAUGUAAGAUCACUGUUGUUCCGUCCACAUAUCCUACUUCAAAAGUAUUAAAUCUCAAGCCAGAUGGAAUCCUCUUUAGCAAUGGGCCUGGUGACCCUUCCGCUGUACCCUAUGCUGUGAAAAGUGUGCAGGACUUGGUUGGCAUAGUUCCAGUAUUUGGAAUCUGCAUGGGUCACCAGCUACUAGGUCAGGCACUUGGUGGCACUACAUUCAAGAUGAAAUUCGGUCAUCAUGGUGGAAACCAUCCAGUGCGCCAUUUGCCCACCGGGCGCGUGGAAAUCAGUGCUCAGAACCACAAUUAUGCAGUAGAUCCCGAUACAUUGCCGGAGGGUGUGGAGGUUACCCACAUCAACUUGAAUGAUGGUACCUGUGCUGGCCUUACAUUCCCUGCUAUGAAAGCAAUGAGCAUCCAGUAUCAUCCCGAGGCUUCUCCUGGUCCUCAUGAUUCUGACCCAGCAUUCUCUGACUUUGUUGAAAUGAUGAGGAAGAAUAGGUCGGAGGCCUGAGACAAAACACUUUUGUGCAAAGAUUGGAAAGUGGAUAGGCGAUCUAUAAUUAUUAUAAACUGGAUCUGCUAAAAGGAGAUGUGCAACUUUCACGUGUUUAGAACUUACGUUGGGUCGGGCACUGAUUAGAUAGCAACUUGGGAUAGUUGAGGGAAAUUAGAGCAGAUUGCUGCAAGAGAAGUGUACUCAUUGAAGCGAUUCUGCACCAUGUUUCAACCUCUUGUGCAUGGAUCAUCUGCAACCAAAUAUUUGUUCCUAUACGACCAACUUGAGAUGGGUAUGUAGCGACUUUGAGUGACAAGUAAUGUCCUGGAAUUCUGACAACCUCGACUCGUCAAUGUGACUCAGAUGCAAUGUUGUCCAGUACCCACUCAUCUGAUGCACCUGUCCUCCAUCAGUCUUUCUGAGUGGGUCCAUUACCUCUAGCUGAGGUGCUCUGAAAUCCUCACUUAUUGUAGCUCACAGCUGAUUUUUCUGGGGAGAAAAAAGCAUAUUUCUCUUUCAGUAGACUCCAAUGUAUCCCCGGGCGUUUCGUUAUCCCUGAACAGACAUGAAAGGUGGUGGAAUACAGACAUGCCAACAACUCGGGCCGUGCUGUCGUAGAAACCUCCAUCACUUCACAUCUCAUCAACAGGGAAGGAAUCUAAUUAUAUAUGCAGCAGUUGUGUGCUUUUUCUGUAGAUCUUGCUCUCUCUCUCUCUUCCUAAAUAUAUAUGGAGAGAGCUACAGCAAAAUCCAUGAUGGAGUCAGUAAGAAGCCGCAGUUAUUCUUUCAUAAAAACCGUGCUCAUCAGGUUAACUGAUAAGUUUUCCACAAACAGAUGUUACUAUGAUUUUUGCUUGAACUGAAACAUGGGUGUUGUUAUUGGGGUA